UUCCAGUCGACGAGUUCCAAAUAGGACGAAACGCGUGUCGUGGAU
rnacentral:hammerhead_ribozyme from 1 species